rnacentral:rRNA from 1 species
GGGGGACGAUAACGGCGUCGAGCGGCGGACGGGUGAGUAAUGCCUAGGAAAUUGCCCUGAUGUGGGGGAUAACCAUUGGAAACGAUGGCUAAUACCGCAUGAUGCCUACGGGCCAAAGAGGGGGACCUUCGGGCCUCUCGCGUCAGGAUAUGCCUAGGUGGGAUUAGCUAGUUGGUGAGGUAAGGGCUCACCAAGGCGACGAUCCCUAGCUGGUCUGAGAGGAUGAUCAGCCACACUGGAACUGAGACACGGUCCAGACUCCUACGGGAGGCAGCAGUGGGGAAUAUUGCACAAUGGGCGCAAGCCUGAUGCAGCCAUGCCGCGUGUGUGAAGAAGGCCUUCGGGUUGUAAAGCACUUUCAGUCGUGAGGAAGGUAGUGUAGUUAAUAGCUGCAUUAUUUGACGUUAGCGACAGAAGAAGCACCGGCUAACUCCGUGCCAGCAGCCGCGGUAAUAC